GGUGAACCUGCGGUUGGAUCAUUACUGAUUUUGCCAAGGUUAGUCGAGUCUCUUUUAGAGAUUCCUUUCCAAGGUAAUAUACCACUGUGCACUAUGCUGUAUUUUGGGUGAUUGGGGCUAGUACUCGACACCCAGCAUCAUAUGAACCAAUGAAAUUUUUUGUCUGAAAUCGAUUCUAAAUUGAAACAACUUUUGACAACGGAUCUCUUGGCUCUCGCAACGAUGAAGAACGCAGCGAAAUGCGAUACGUAAUGUGAAUUGCUUUCCGUGAAUCAUCGAAUCUUUGAACGCACAUUGCACUCCUCUGGAGUAUGCCUGUUUGAGAAUCUAUAGUAUUCUUUUUUGCUUUGUUUCUUAGGGAGCAAGGUGAGAGAUAUGAGGUAUCCCUGUAAUAAGGGUGCUUUGAAUUAGAUUGUCACUGUCUUGUAGAAAACGACGACGUUUUUCAUAACCUGCAGAAAAGUAUUUGAAUGGAACCUUGGUUUCUUAUGAUGCUGAAUAAGUAGGCGAAAGAUUGAGUUUUCGUAGGACUGGGGUCCAUAACCUAAAGCUUUCGAGCUUGAACCAUGGUCUCAAAUCAGGUAGG
rnacentral:rRNA from 1 species